rnacentral:rRNA from 1 species
AUUGAACGCUGGCGGCAUGCUUUACACAUGCAAGUCGAACGGUAACAGGCCUUCGGGUGCUGACGAGUGGCGAACGGGUGAGUAAUGCAUCGGAACGUACCCAGAGGUGGGGGAUAACGCAGCGAAAGCUGUGCUAAUACCGCAUGUGAUCUGAGGAUGAAAGCGGGGGACCGAGCAGCAAUGUUUGGCCUCGCGCCUUUGGAGCGGCCGAUGUCGGAUUAGCUAGUUGGUGGGGUAAAGGCCUACCAAGGCGACGAUCCGUAGCUGGUCUGAGAGGACGACCAGCCACACUGGGACUGAGACACGGCCCAGACUCCUACGGGAGGCAGCAGUGGGGAAUUUUGGACAAUGGGCGCAAGCCUGAUCCAGCAAUGCCGCGUGCGGGAAGAGGGCCUUCGGGUUGUAAAACGCUUUUGGCAGGAACGAAACGGUGUCCGCUAAUACCGGGCGCUAAUGACGGUACCUGCAGAAUAAGCACCGGCUAACUACGUG